CACCGCGGCUCCCCUAGAAAGGUUCCGGAUUCUCCGUGUGUGGGGCAGCUGGUUGAACUGAUCCUUUUGCCACAUUCUGCAAGUCCUUUUUAUUAAAAACAGUAGAAAUCAUUUCAAGGAGGCACCGCCAACUCUCCACAGUGCUCCCACUGCAAGCUUGGAAACAAGCUGAACCCCGUUCGACGUGGUUGCAGAUGCCAACCAACGUAUAUGUGGAGCUGACACCGCAGCGUGUGGUUAAGUAGAGUUUUGGCCAGGGCCAGGUGGCCUGGAGGCACGGAGGCGUUGAGUCCGCGUGGCCGGGGCCCUGCUCAGUGUGCAGGUGCACCUGGCAACACAGAACAACGGUGGCCAACUAAGUGGGAGCUCAGAGCCAGAUGCCGAGCCGCAGACACAGGCACCCGAGCCCGCCAGCUAGCCUCAGCCUCCACUUCCUCCUCCUCCAAGAAUCUAUUAAAGGCCUCAAAAGGGCUGUUCAGCAUCAGAGAGAGGGACACGAUGCUCAGGACACACGCUGCAGUGUCAGAAUGGCCCCGUUUGGGUGGCAGUCCGGGCAGCGGCCCUGCCCAGCACAGCCCAGAGGUCGGGGUGGCGAUGGGCCCGAGAGGGACCCAGCCUCCCCCCGACAGAGCCGGGGCCACACAGCUGCGGGGGAAAACUCUGGGCUGCUGCUGCUCAGCACUCGGCUUCCACCUACCUGCGAAAUGUGUAGCUUGGCGCUCUCAGACCACCUUCAUAGACAUGCAAGCCUUCUUUUUGCAACAUGUGCUCCCCUAUUUGAGAAAAAGAGAGCCUAGGAGCAACAUUUAGCACCUCAACACGAGCUCCCUUGAUGGCCUGGGAGUUGACGCUUGCACGGCCCAACACAGCAGCUGGGAGAAACUCCAAUGCUGGAGGGAAUCUCUCUUUGUGCGUUUAUGACUCGUGGUAAUUAAACUUUGGGAGAACUUUUUGACUCAAGACCCAUUUGAAAAUUUCAGUGAAUUAGUCAUGCCAAAGCUCAUGUGCUAUUAUCAUGAGCUCCAGCCGUCAGAGCUUCAGAAUAAAUCACAGCCAAGAUACAGUGUGUGCCCGUAGUUCUCUACAGACUGGAGCCAACCAUCAAAUUUCAUAUAUUCCAGGUUUAAGAAAUGUAAUUAGUUGACCUACAAUAAACACA
rnacentral:lncRNA from 1 species